rnacentral:rRNA from 1 species
CCUACGGGGGGCUGCAGUGGGGAAUAUUGGACAAUGGGGGCAACCCUGAUCCAGCCAUGCCGCGUGUGUGAAGAAGGCCCUCGGGUUGUAAAGCACUUUCAGUGAGGAAGAACGCCUGGUGGUUAAUACCCAUCAGGAAAGACAUCACUCACAGAAGAAGCACCGGCUAACUCCGUGCCAGCAGCCGCGGUAAUACGGAGGGUGCGAGCGUUAAUCGGAAUUACUGGGCGUAAAGCGCGCGUAGGUGGCUUGAUAAGCCGGUUGUGAAAGCCCCGGGCUCAACCUGGGAACGGCAUCCGGAACUGUCAAGCUAGAGUGCAGGAGAGGGAGGUAGAAUUCCCGGUGUAGCGGUGAAAUGCGUAGAGAUCGGGAGGAAUACCAGUGGCGAAGGCGGCCUUCUGGACUGACACUGACACUGAGGUGCGAAAGCGUGGGUAGCAAACAGGAUUAGAUACCCGAGUAGUC